rnacentral:tRNA from 1 species
GGAGUGGUGGCCGAACGGGAAGGCGUCGAUCUGCUACGUCGAUAAGUCGCGAAGGCGACGAGCGCGUUCGACUCGCGCCCACUCCGCCA